GGGUCACACUGUGGGGUCGAGGAGAGACGGGUGUGGUCAGGUGAAGGGUCACACUGUGGGGUCCAGGAGAGAUGGGUGUGGUCAGUGUGGAGGGUCACGCUGUGGGGUCCAGGAGAGAUGGGUGUGGUCAGGUGAAGGGUCACACUGUGGGGUCCAGGAGAGAUGGGGGUGGUCAGGUGAAGGGUCACACUGUGGGGUCCAGGAGAGAUGGGUGUGGUCAGGUGAAGGGUCACACUGUGGGGUCCAGGAGAGAUGGGUGUGGUCAGGUGAAGGGUCACGCUGUG
rnacentral:lncRNA from 1 species